GAGUGGCGAACGGGUGAGUAACACGUGGGUAACCUGCCCAUCAGAAGGGGAUAACACUUGGAAACAGGUGCUAAUACCGUAUAACAAUCAAAACCGCAUGGUUUUGAUUUGAAAGGCGCUUUCGGGUGUCGCUGAUGGAUGGACCCGCGGUGCAUUAGCUAGUUGGUGAGGUAACGGCUCACCAAGGCCACGAUGCAUAGCCGACCUGAGAGGGUGAUCGGCCACAUUGGGACUGAGACACGGCCCAAACUCCUACGGGAGGCAGCAGUAGGGAAUCUUCGGCAAUGGACGAAAGUCUGACCGAGCAACGCCGCGUGAGUGAAGAAGGUUUUCGGAUCGUAAAACUCUGUUGUUAGAGAAGAACAAGGAUGAGAGUAACUGUUCAUCCCUUGACGGUAUCUAACCAGAAAGCCACGGCUAACUACGUGCCAGCAGCCGCGGUAAUACGUAGGUGGCAAGCGUUGUCCGGAUUUAUUGGGCGUAAAGCGAGCGCAGGCGGUUUCUUAAGUCUGAUGUGAAAGCCCCCGGCUCAACCGGGGAGGGUCAUUGGAAACUGGGAGACUUGAGUGCAGAAGAGGAGAGUGGAAUUCCAUGUGUAGCGGUGAAAUGCGUAGAUAUAUGGAGGAACACCAGUGGCGAAGGCGGCUCUCUGGUCUGUAACUGACGCUGAGGCUCGAAAGCGUGGGGAGCAAACAGGAUUAGAUACCCUGGUAGUCCACGCCGUAAACGAUGAGUGCUAAGUGUUGGA
rnacentral:rRNA from 1 species